GAUGAAGAACGUAGCGAAAUGCGAUACGUAGUGUGAAUUGCAGAUUUCAGUGAAUCAUCGAAUCUUUGAACGCACAUUGCACCUCUCGGUAUUCCGGGAGGUAUGCCUGUUCGAGCGUCAUUUGUACCCUCAAGCUCUGCUUGGUGUUGGGUGUUUGUUCCGCCUCUGUGUGUGAACUCGCCUCAAAACAAUUGGCAGCCGGCGUACUUGUUUCGGAGCGCAGCACAUUUUGCGAUCCAGAUCAACGUACAGCGGCAUCCAAGAAGCCUUAUUUAACGCUCUUGACCUCGGAUCAGGUAGGGAUACCCGCUGAACUUAAGCAUAUCAAUAAGCGGAGGA
rnacentral:misc_RNA from 1 species